GGAUUAGUGGCGAACGGGUGAGUAACACGUGAGUAACCUGCCCUUGACUCUGGGAUAAGCCUGGGAAACUGGGUCUAAUACCGGAUACGACCAUUGCCCGCAUGGGUUGGUGGUGGAAAGCUUUUGUGGUUUUGGAUGGACUCGCGGCCUAUCAGCUUGUUGGUGAGGUAAUGGCUCACCAAGGCGACGACGGGUAGCCGGCCUGAGAGGGUGACCGGCCACACUGGGACUGAGACACGGCCCAGACUCCUACGGGAGGCAGCAGUGGGGAAUAUUGCACAAUGGGCGAAAGCCUGAUGCAGCGACGCCGCGUGAGGGAUGACGGCCUUCGGGUUGUAAACCUCUUUCAGUAGGGAAGAAGCGAAAGUGACGGUACCUGCAGAAGAAGCGCCGGCUAACUACGUGCCAGCAGCCGCGGUAAUACGUAGGGCGCAAGCGUUAUCCGGAAUUAUUGGGCGUAAAGAGCUCGUAGGCGGUUUGUCGCGUCUGCUGUGAAAGGCCAGGGCUCAACCCUGGUUCUGCAGUGGGUACGGGCAGACUUGAGUGAUGUAGGGGAGACUGGAAUUCCUGGUGUAGCGGUGAAAUGCGCAGAUAUCAGGAGGAACACCGAUGGCGAAGGCAGGUCUCUGGGCAUUAACUGACGCUGAGGAGCGAAAGCAUGGGGAGCGAACAGGAUUAGAUACCCUGGUAGUCCAUGCCGUAAACGUUGGGCACUAGGUGUGGGGGACAUUCCACGUUUUCCGCGCCGUAGCUAACGCAUUAAGUGCCCCGCCUGGGGAGUACGGCCGCAAGGCUAAAACUCAAAGGAAUUGACGGGGGCCCGCACAAGCGGCGGAGCAUGCGGAUUAAUUCGAUGCAACGCGAAGAACCUUACCAAAGGCUUGACAUGGACCGGAUCGCAUCAGAGAUGGUGUUUCCCUUCGGGGCUGGUUCACAGGUGGUGCAUGGUUGUCGUCAGCUCGUGUCGUGAGAUGUUGGGUUAAGUCCCGCAACGAGCGCAACCCUCGUUCCAUGUUGCCAGCGCGUAAUGGCGGGGACUCAUGGGAGACUGCCGGGGUCAACUCGGAGGAAGGUGGGGACGACGUCAAAUCAUCAUGCCCCUUAUGUCUUGGGCUUCACGCAUGCUACAAUGGCCGGUACAAAGGGUUGCGAUACUGUGAGGUGGAGCUAAUCCCAAAAAGCCGGUCUCAGUUCGGAUUGGGGUCUGCAACUCGACCCCAUGAAGUUGGAGUCGCUAGUAAUCGCAGAUCAGCAACGCUGCGGUGAAUACGUUCCCGGGCCUUGUACACACCGCCCGUCAAGUC
rnacentral:rRNA from 1 species